GUUAUUCACUGGUCCAUCAAGUGUAGAAGCACUAACAUCAUGGACACAUGCAAGAGAAGAGAAAGCUCAACAGGGUAUGGAAAUUCUUCGAUUGCUUGAGAAGGAGUAUUACGACUUACAGGGUUUGUGUGAGAGAAAAUCUGAGCACCUAAGUUACGAGGAAGCACUGCAGGCAGUAGAAGAUCUUUGCUUAGAAGAGGGUAAAAAAAGAGAAUAUAUAGGAGUAUUACGACUUACAGGGUUUGUGUGAGAGAAAAUCUGAGCACCUAAGUUACGAGGAAGCACUGCAGGCAGUAGAAGAUCUUUGCUUAGAAGAGGGUAAAAAAAGAGAACAUGAAAUAGAAUUUGUCCGGCAAAGCUAUGAUUCUGUCUUGCGGAAGCGUCGAGAGGAGCUCAUAGAAAGUGACAACGAAGUUGCGAUCAUCAGUAGGUUUGAGUUGGAUGCUAUAUCAAAUGUUCUGAAGGAAGCAGAAUCUCUCAAUGUAAAUCAAUUCGGAUUCGACGAAACAUAUGGUGGUGGAACAUCUCAAUUUUGUGACUUGGAGGCUGGCGAAGAGGAUGAUUGGAGACUGAAAGACUAUCUUCAUCAGGUGGACUCUAGCGUGGAAGUUGCAAUACAGAGACAGAAGGAACAUGUUUCCAUUGAGGUUGGUGCAUCAGUUACCGUCUAGUGUUCCUUUUUCGAUUUUCCGUGUUGCUUUCUUGCCUUUUGAACUUAC
rnacentral:lncRNA from 1 species